CUUUCAGUAUUGUUAUGACUACCUCACAUGCAUGGGCAUGGACAAGUCGGAAGUCAUGUACAGCGAUGAGAAAAAGAAUCUGUGCCUGCUGCUGGAGAAACAGCACGACGAGGAAAGGAAGAAGGAAAAGGAGAGGUCCGAGACAGGCACAGCAUUGGAUUAGGACCUCGGGGACUUUGGGGGCCUAUCCUGAGACCCCCACCCACCCUCUGUGCCUCAGUUCUUUCCAUCAAUUCCACCAAUAAAAUUUCUGCAUUUGGAA